rnacentral:rRNA from 1 species
GAUGAACGCUGGCGGCGUGCCUAAUACAUGCAAGUCGAACGAGGAACUUUAAUCUUCGGAUGGAAGUUUCCUAGUGGCGAACGGGUGAGUAACGCGUUGGUGACCUGCCCCAAAGUGGGGGAUAACAGUUCGAAAGGACUGCUAAUACCGCAUAAGAUCAAUGGGAUUAAAUGCCUGUUGAUUAAAGGCGAAAGUCGCUUUGGGAGGGGCCUGCGUCCCAUCAGCUUGUUGGUAGGGUAAUUGCCUACCAAGGCUAAGACGGGUAGGGGACCUGAGAGGGUGGCCCCCCACACUGGCACUGAAACACGGGCCAGACACCUACGGGAGGCAGCAGUGGGGAAUAUUGCGCAAUGGGGGGAACCCUGACGCAGCAACGCCGCGUGAGUGAAGAAGGCCUUCGGGUCGUAAAGCUCUGUCGAGAGGGAAGAAGUCUCUAGGGAGAAUAUCUUUAGAGGUGACGGUACCUUUUAAGGUAAGCCCCGGCUAACUACGUG